UUCCGGUUGAUCCUGCCGGACCUGACUGCUAUCGGAUCGAGACUAAGCCAUGCGAGUCUGCCAAUCAGAGCAUGUUGGUUGGCGGCGAACGGCUCAGUAACACGUAGUCAACCUGCCCUUGGGUCGAGAACAAUCUCGGGAAACUGAGGCUAAUUCUCGAUAAAUCAAGAUUCCUGGAAUGGGUUUUGGUCGAAAUGAUGUAACAGCAUCUUGUUAUUUUCGCCCAAGGAUGGGACUGCGGCCGAUCAGGCUGUUGGUGGGGUAAAGGCCCACCAAACCAGUAACCGGUACGGGCUUUGAGAGAAGGAGCCCGGAGAUGGACACUGAGACAAGGGUCCAGGUCCUACGGGGCGCAGCAGGCGCGAAACCUUCGCAAUGCGCGCAAGCGCGACGAGGUUAUUCCGAGUGAUUUCCGCUGAGGAAAUCUUUUCUUAGAUCUAAAAAGUCUGGGGAAUAAGGGGAGGGCAAGUCUGGUGUCAGCCGCCGCGGUAAUACCAGCUCCUCGAGUGGUCAGGGCGUUUAUUGGGCCUAAAGCAUCCGUAGCCGGCUCAUUAGGUCUCCUGUUAAAUCCAACGGCUCAACCGUUGGUCUGCAGGAGAUACCGAUGGGCUAGGAGGCGGGAGAGGCGGACGGUACUCCGAGGGUAGGGGUAAAAUCCUUUGAUCCCCGGAAGACCACCAGUGGCGAAGGCGGUCCACCAGAACGCGCUCGACGGUGAGGGAUGAAAGCUGGGGGAGCGAACCGGAUUAGAUACCCGGGCAGUCCCAGCUGUAAACGAUGCGAGCUAGGUGACA
rnacentral:rRNA from 1 species